rnacentral:rRNA from 1 species
GACGGAGGAUGCAAGCGUUAUCCGGAAUGAUUGGGCGUAAAGCGUCCGCAGGUGGCAGUUCAAGUCUGCUGUCAAAGACCGGGGCUUAACUUCGGAAAGGCAGUGGAAACUGAACAGCUAGAGUAUGGUAGGGGCAGAGGGAAUUCCUGGUGUAGCGGUGAAAUGCGUAGAGAUCAGGAAGAACAUCGGUGGCGAAGGCGCUCGGCUGGACCAUAACUGACACUCAGGGACGAAAGCUAGGGGAGCGAAUGGG